UACGUAGGGUGCAAGCGUUGUCCGGAUUUAUUGGGCGUAAAGGGCGCGUAGGCGGCCCGGUAAGUCAAAGGUGAAAUCCCUCGGCUCAACUGAGGAACUGCCUUUGAAACUGUCGGGCUUGAGGCCGGGAGGGGGUAGCGGAAUUCCCAGUGUAGCGGUGAAAUGCGUAGAUAUUGGGAGGAACACCGGUGGCGAAGGCGGCUAGCCUGGACCCGGUUGCCGU
rnacentral:rRNA from 1 species